UGGAACAUUACCAAUAGGUAAAUCCCAAAUACUAACAUUCUUUCAGAAAUUUUUUCCCAUGCACAAAAAUACUCUAACGAGGUAUAUUAUAACUAUCAUAGAACCUAAAUACAGUGCUAAACAAUCUUACCCAAACCAAUAGUGAAAUAGAGUUGCUCUUUUAUCUGAAAGCGAUCUUAAAAAAAAAAAGAUCCACCUGAGUAUCGUUAUGAAAUUAUCUUUGUCUUCAACCCUAUAACAUCAAUUGCUGAUGUCGAUUCCUCAAGUGCAAUGACCGAAGUAAAUCCUUCAACUAUUAGCAGUGAUGUAAAGGAUUCAACUCAAAUGAACACCAGUUCAGACACAAAAG
rnacentral:lncRNA from 1 species